rnacentral:lncRNA from 10 species
GGUGUUUGGUUUUUUGUUCUUGCGAUAGUUUACUAGGAAUUAUUUUCUUAAUUUAGUUUUUGGAUCACUCAUUGCAAGUAUAUAGCAAUAAAAUUGGUUUUUACAAUAUCCAUCUUGUAUUAUGCUAUAUUUCCAAACUCAUUUGCUAGUUCUAAUAGUUUUUAAGUGAAUUCCUUAGGAUUUUCUGUAUAUAGGACCAUGUUAUUUGCAAACAUAGAUAGUUUUACGUCUUCCUUUUCAAACCGAAUGCCUUUUCUUUUUCUUGCCUAAUUGCCCCGGAAACUCCAAUACAUUGGUGAACAGCAAGGUGAGAGUGGACAUAUCUGUCUUUUUUUGUGACCUUUGUGGGGAAGUAUUCAGUAUUUCACCAUGAAGUAUAAUUUUAGCUGUGGGUUUUCCAUAGAUGCCCUUUCUCUGGUUGAGAACUUCCUAUUAGUAGUUUGUUGAGCAUUUCUAUCAUGGAAUGAGGUUAGGAUUUUGUCAGAUGCUUUUUUUCUGCAUGUAUUGAGAUGAUCAUGUGAUUUUUGUUCUGUUGAUAUGAGGUAUUACCUUAAUUGAUUUUAAAAUGCUCAACCAAUCUUGUAUUCCUAAGAUAAAUCCCACUUGGUCAUAGAAUGUAAUUCUUAUUAUAGCUGCUAAAUUCAAUCUGCUAGUAUUUUGUUGAGGAUUUUUGCAUCCAUAUUAAUAAGAGAUAUUGCUUUGUAGUUUUGUUUUCUUGUGACAUCUUUGUCUUGUUUUGGAAUUGUAUAAUACUGGUCUUAUUAAAUGCUGCACAUUCUUUACAAAAAACAAACCCCCAAGCUGUCAUUUAAUACAUUUUUCCAGGGAUCAACAUAAAAUUUGAUACUCUUGCAGUUACUAAAAUCUCCAGUCCAGAGGAACAGGGGCAGCAGAUAGCUGGGAGGUGCCCUUUAAGUGUGUUAAGACAACGAUCAGCUGCCCUCAGCACUGAUGUCAGCAUUGGCAUCUCGGGUAGAACCAGUCAGACAGGCAGACACCCGGUGUGGGAGCUUGGGUUCUGCCUGGCACUGAGAGUUCCUAAAGGCUUGUCUUGGGCACACAGUGUGAGGUGCUGUCUUCUCGCUGGUGCUGAAAUUCACGUUUCUGCUGUGUCUUUCCUGUGAGGGCCAGUCCCAGACAUGCUUCUGGACAUUACCAUAUCCCUUCUAGGAAGAUGCUGAACAUCUCCAGGGACAAAUUGGAGCCUGAAGCCUCAGAGCUACUGAUGAUGAAGGAAAGAGGCAAACAUUCAGGAGCCACAGUGCAAGCUGAGGACAAGAGAAAGCAGGAGCAAAGGCCACGUCGGGGACAUGAUACAUCACAACAUGCAGGCAGCAUGGCCCUGAGUCACCACGUGGAGACAAGCCUCAAGAGGACUCCACUUCCCAGUGGACGUUGCACGAGCAAGCAGGAAACCUCUUCUGUGAGCCCCUGAGGUUCAGGGUUUUUUGUUUUUUUUUAGUACCAUGGCUACUGUGACGUAUCCUGACUAAUGCCGACAGCACAGGGAGCCUUUGCCUGCCGGAGGAAGCGGUGAGGAAGAGGUGGUGCGUCGUGCACUUCCUGUUGCUGUUUUAGGACAGCUUGGGUGAGUCCAGCAUUAAAAAUCAGAAUGGGAAAAAGGAGAGGAAACCCGGAAGGGUCUACAUGGGAAAGCCAGGGUCUGCGGAAGACAGAUUGUCUCUCCCAGGAUGCCUGGUGUUUUUGGAGGGGCACGCAGCAGUUGGAGGUUUGCAUUUCAGGAUUUGCCUUACAUUAAAAUGCAAUUUAUCUGUUAAUUCUAUUUACUUAUUUAACUCACAUGGAUUAACUGCCUAUUCUGUGUACCAGACGUAGUUUGUUCCAGGGAAGUGCUGCUGAACCAGGUAAACCCAGCCCCCCAUCUCCAGGAGCAGAGGCUGCAAGGACAGGAAGACAAUGAGGCAAUGGUGUGCUGGGGGAAUCGUGCUAAAGUGAAAGCAUCCUUCGAUCAUUUUUAAGUCAUUCUAGGAUCUUCAGGGCAUCAAAGUUUUGCCUGUGAGCCUCAAUUGGUCUAAUACAAAAAUACAGACUGUGGUUAAUCAUCUGAGCUUUGAGAUCAUGUGAGAUUGUAAUCCUGCCUUGGUUCUGCCACUUACUGCUGGUGAAGGAAAAAUUAAUCUUUCCAAACAGCUUGCAAGACAGAAAUCAUGCUUUCUACCUCCCAAAGCUGCUGUGGGCAUGAAACAGCCCACGUGCAUGAGGUGCCCAGCAUAGCGCCUGGAAAUCACACACAAUCACAGAAUCAUGGGGCCAGAGGAGGCCCUUGAAGUUUUAUCUGAUUUACUCCUCCCAUGAGAUGCUUUAAUUCUCCAACUUCUCCUCAAUGGCACCUAUAAAGAAAUGGGUUCUCCCUCUGUUGUUCUCUCUCUCGCUCUCAAGCUCUUUUAGUACUUAGAGUUACGCCACUUCAUUUGAAGUUUAACAUGGUAAAUCUUAGAGACCAUCCAAGUCCAACACAUUUAUUUUAUUUUUUUUUCUGAGACUGAGUUUUGCUCUUGUUGCCCAGGCUGGAGUGCAAUGGCACGAUCUCAGCUCACUGCAACCUCUGCCUCCCAGGUUCAAAUGAUUCUUUUGCCUCAGCCUCCUGAGUAGCUGGGAUUACAGGCAUGCGCCACCAUGUCCGCCUAAUUUUGUAUUUUUAGUAGAGACGGGUUUUCUCCAUGUUGGUCAGGCUGGUCUUGAACUCCUGACCUCAGGUCAUCCGCCCUCCCUUGGCCUCCCAAAGUGCUGGGAUUACAGGCGUGAACCACCACGCAUGGUCCCAACACCCUUAUUUUAAUGCUGUUAAUGUCACUGGAUUUCAUUUUUGGCCCAGCAUCUGCUUUCUCUUGUGGAAUGUGCCACGUGCAGUGGAGAAGAAUGUGUAUUUUCCAGGCGGUGGGUGCAGUGUUCAUCAUUUGGGUCAAGGUGAUGGAUGGUGUUGUUCAGAUAUUUGUCUUUACUGAUAUUUUUGUUGAGGGAUGUUGAAGUCCCUAAUUAUGAUUGUGGAAUCAUUUAUUUCUCCCUUUAACUCUGGAUGUUUGCAUCAUGUGUUCAGAAGCUGUUACAAGGUGGGUUCAACUCUACGACUGUCAGGUCUUUCUGAAGAGCCUUCCCUUCAGCAUUAUGAAGCGUCCCUCUUUAUUUCUAAUAAUACAUUUUGUCUAAAUGUCUAUUUUAUCUGAUAUUCACAGAGCUUCUCUAGUAUUCGUAUACUUACUGUUUGCAUGGUAUUUUCUUUUCCUUUCAUUUACUUUCAAUCAAUAUGUCUUCAUAUUUAAAGUGAAUCUCUAAGAACACUACAAUCUAAUUAGACAAAAAAUAAAGCAAAUCUUUUAGAGAUAGUAUAUAGUUGAAUCUUGCUUUCAAAAACUGUCUGACAAUCUGUCUUCUAAUUGGAGUGUUUAUUCUAUUCAUAUUCAAUGUAGUUGUUCAUAUGGUUGGAUUUAGGCCUACUUUUUGGGAGACAGGGGACAGAGUCUCACUCUGCCACCCAGGCUGAGUACAGUGGCAUGAUCAUGGCUCACUGCAGGCUCAGCCUCCCAGGGUCAAGCAAUCCUCCCAUCUCAGCCUCCCAAGUAGCUAGACUACCAGCACGUGCCACCACACUCAGCUAAGCAUCUUUUAUUAUUUGUUUUCUGUUUGUUUCCUCUGUUGUGGUUCUCUGUUCCUCCUAUUCUGCCUUCAUUUGAAUUAUGUUAAUGUUUUUUAGAAUUCCAUUGUACUGGUUUUAUUGACUUUUUAGCUAUAAAUACUCUCGGCAUUUUUAAGUGGCGGCUAAUGGAAUUCCAGUGCACAUCCUUAGAGUUUUCUUAGGGUUAAUAGUGUAACAUCUUAUGUACAUUUGUAAACCUUGCAGCAAAAUAAGUCCAUCUGCUUCCCCUUCCUCCGUUUUUUAAUGCUAUAGUUGCCAUAGGUAUUACAUCCACAUACUUUAUAAGCCUCACAAGAAAAUGUUUUACUUUUUGCUUUGAACAGUCACAUGCUUUGAACAGUCUUAAAUUAAAAGGAAAAUUAGUCUUUUGUAUUUAUCCAGCUAUUUACAAUUUCAGAUUUCUUCAUUCUUUCCCAAAGGUGCAAGUUUCCAUCUGGUAUUAUUUCUCUUUAGCCUCAAAAACCUCCUCUAGCAUUUCUUGUAGUCCAGAUCUGUUGGCAAUGAAUUAUUAUAGCCUUCUUUUAUCUGAAAAUGUUUUAAUUUUACAUUUAUCUUGAAAAGACAUUUUUUACUGGUUGUAUAAGUUUGUGUGACUAUUUUUUUUCUUUUAGCUUGUUUGGGUGGUUGUUCCACCAUAUUCUGGCUUCCAUAGUUUCUGAUGAGACGUCAGUAGUACCUGGAGUUGCUACUUCUCUCUAUAUAAUGUGUCAUUUUUCAUUUGCUGUGUUCCAGAUUUUUUUGGCUUGUUUUUCUUUGUAUUUAUUGAUCUUGAGGCUUAUGGAGCUUCUUAAAGUUGUAAAAUUAUGUCUUUCACCAAAUUUGGGCAUUUUUGGACAAUUACAUCUUCAAAUAUUUUUUGCCCCCUUCUCUCCUCUUUUUAUGGGACUCCAGUUCCAUGGAUGUUUAACAUUUGAUGUGGUCUUUCAAGUUCCUGAGGUUCUUGUUAGUUAUCCAUUGCUGCAUAACAAAUUACCCCCCAAACAGUUGGGGGUUAAACAAUAAUCAUAAUUUAUUACCUGUCUGUGGUUUCUGUGGGCCAGAAUCCACACAGGGCACUGUGAGGACAGACUGUCUCUCCUGGGAUGCCUGGCAUUUCAGCUGGAAUACUGAAGCCUGAAGGUUGGAGUCAUCUGAAGGUGCUCUCACCCACACAUCUGGCAAGUGGAGGGCUGAGGGCCCAGUGUGGCUAUUGGCCAAACACCCACGUGUGGGCUCUCCGUGUGGCCAGGACUGCCUCACAACACAGUGGCUGGGUUUGAAGGGCAAGCACGGGGGUUGGAGGCAGAAGUCAUGUUGCCUGUGGCGACCUGGCCUGGGAGUACCACAGUGUCACUUCCCCUGUCUCCUUUUGGUUGGGAAAGUUUCAGGGGUCUGACCAGCUAGAGUCCGCCCAGAGUCUGCCUAACUGGAGACUCUGGAUUUUGCUCUACCCCUGUUUAUUUGUUCAUUUGUUUGUUUAACCUGAUCGAUCUCAAACUGCAAACUGUUUAUUGGGUGGCAGCUCAAAUCUCAGAAAAAUUUGUAAAUUCUCCACUGGUGUGCUUUGUGUCUUCCUUGUGCACGCAUGUUUCAGGAGCUAGCCAGAGAUCUGGGCAGAGUUCAUGGCUCUCUCUCCCUUUCUCUCUCAAAAUUCUCCUCCUUUUCCAGAGGCUGUGUUUUCCCUGAACUCUGGCAUCCAGUCUUCAGGCAAGGACAACUUCUAUUAUGGUUUUAGCUGCCCCUACAGCACCAACUACAAUACACCCUUAGGAUAAAUCCAUAGAAAUGAGAAACUUGUUCUGUGUUACCACCUAAGAUCUACGCUUUAGCAAAUUUCAAGUAUAAAAUACAGUAUUAUGAACUAUAGUCACCAUGGUGGACAUGAGGUCUCCAGAAUUUAUUCCCCCUGCAUAACUGGAACUUUGCACCCUUUGACCAACACUUCCUCAACUUUCCCACCCCAGCUCCUGGCUGCCACCAUCCUACUCUCUGCUCCUAUGAGUGGCACUAUUUUAGAUUCCACAGAUAAGUGAGAUAUUGUGGUAUUUGUCCUCUGUGAUCAGCUUAUUUCACUUAGCAUGAUGUCCUUCAGGUUCAUCCAUGUUGUUGCAAAUGGCAGGAUGUCCUUCUUUUGAAAGACUGAGUAAAAUUCCACUGGGGACAGGUAUACACCACAUCCUCUUUACCUGUUUAUCCGUCCAUGGAUAUUAGGCUGUUUCCAUAUCCUGGCUAUUGUGAAUAAUAUGCCAGUGAACACGGGAGUGGAGGCAUCUCUUUGAGAUUUGGAUUUCAUUUUCUUUGGGUAUAUCCCCAGAAGUGGGAUUGCUGGAUCAUAUGGUGGCUAUGUUUUUAAUUUUUUGAGGCAUCUCCAUACUGUUUUCCAUAAUGGCUGUAUCAAUUUACAUUCCCACUAACAGUUCUAAGGGUUCCCUCUUCUUGACACCCUCCAUUCCUAAUGGUUUUGUGUAAAUGCGCAGGUCUCACCUCCACAGUUGGGUUGUAAUCCCGAGAGCAGAGCUGCAGUCCUCAUGCCUGCUGACCCUGCAGGGUGUGGUGUCUCUGUCCAUCCAAGGACCAGCCCUGUUCAUUGUCUAACACAGCAGCAGAAGCUGUGCACACUGACUUUCCCUACAAGAGCAGUGACCAGAGAAAGUUUAAUUUAUUCCACGCAGAAAUAUGGCAAGUAUUUUUUUUUUAACUAAUCAAACAGAUUACUUAUCAGAUGGCAUGGGUUAAAAAUUACUCAGUCUAAAAAUGUCUGGUGAACAAGCGCUUAAUUUUAGCAAACAAUUCUAAAUUGAGUACUUAUGAAAAGCAAUUUUUUUGUUCCCCAAACCCAAAAGACACCCUCCCUCCUUUAGAUAAAAAGGGAAAUUGCUUAUGUGGGUAAUUAUUUCUGGAGCUGACCACUUACUGGUGUGGAAAGUCAUUACAGACACCCGCUGCUUGUUUCCUGGGGAUGAGGCCAGCCCUGGUGGGCUGGGAGGAGGUUCUGCGGCCUUUCAUCAUCAGGGUCUGUGAGCACCGCAGGGACUGCCUGGGCGGGGGACAAGGCAGGUGCAGAGACCAGGACGCUAUUAAGGAGCCCCAGGGGUCCUGAUGGUGCAUGGGCUGGUUUUAAAUUAUGAGAUGUGUGUGUGUGUGUGUGUGUGUGUGUGUGUGACAGAGAGAGAGAGAGAGAGAGACAUGGCUACAGAGAGAGGCAGAGAAGGGGAGCCAUUAAAUGCCACAGAAAGGCAUGGCCACGCGAGAGCUGCUGUGUAGCCCAGCAGAGCCCUUGCUGCUGUUUCUAGAAUGGCUGUUUCACAGGCAGCUUUGUGAGUCCUGCUCAGGGCCAGUGUAGACCUCAGGGGUCUGCCCUGGGAGGCCCUGAUCACCACCUUCUAGGACCCAUGUCCUCGGGCUCCUGCCCAGGCCCACGCCUCCUGCGUCCCAUGUGCGCACUGCUCUGUCCCCCUGGGAAGGUGGGAAACCCAACGUGGUGGUGCCUGCCUGCCCAGUCUGGCACAGAGAUGGAGCGAGCUAGAGCCUGGCCUGAGCUGCGUGCUGUCUGCAGGGGCUCCCGGAUGCUACUCUGUUAAAGCUGGAGUUGGCUGGUCAGAGGGGCAACCUCCUGACACUCCCUCCAAGGCACGGCCUGCCCACAGGCUGCAGCUUCGACCAGUAGAGUGCGGCAGGAGGGACAUAUUGAGACUUCCAAGCCCAGAGCUGAGGGCACUGGCAGCUUUGCUUCCUUCUGUUGGGAAUGGUCAUGGGUACAGCCAGGUGUACGGUGCAGAGGAUGCAAGCUCAGGCUGGGGGACACACAGGAGGAGGGAGAGAAAGAGAGAGAGGAGGAGGGAGAGAAAGAGAGAGAGGAGACAGGGAGAGCGAA